rnacentral:rRNA from 1 species
GGAUCAGCAGGUCGGUCGUGCCUCCGGUAUGCACUGGCUUUACUGAUUCCUCCUUCUUGAUGAACUGUAAUGUCAUUAAUUUGGUGUUGCAGGGCAAUCAGGACUGUUACUUUGAAAAAAUUAGAGUGUUUAAAGCAGGCAUACGCUUGAAUACAUUAGGCAUGGAAUAAUGAAAUAGGACGUUUGAUCCUAUUUUGUUGGUUUCUAGGAUUGACGUA